GGGCGGUUCGCCGCCGACGACGUCGCGAGAAGUCCACUGAACCUUAUCAUUUAGAGGAAGGAGAAGUCGUAACAAGGUUUCCGUAGGUGAACCUGCGGAAGGAUCAUUGUCGAAACCUGCACCCGCAGUACGACCCGUGAACAAGUUUAUCCAUUGCGUAAGGUGCCCAGUGUGCCUUACGUAGGACCCCGUCACGAGCUAUGCUUUAGAGGGGGCCCUGUCAACAAACCCCGGCGCGGAAUGCGCCAAGGAAAAUGAAGGAACAAGCGAGAGGCCCGCAAGCUGCCCAGAAAUGGUGUCUGCUCUGUAGGUGUUUCUCCAUAAUAACUGAAACGACUCUCGACAACGGAUAUCUCGGCUCUCGCAUCGAUGAAGAACGUAGCGAAAUGCGAUACUUGGUGUGAAUUGCAGGAUCCCGUGAACCAUCGAGUCUUUGAACGCAAGUUGCGCCCAAGGCCUUCGGGUUGAGGGCACGUCUGCCUGGGUGUCACGCAACGUCGCCCUAUCACCCUCUACAUUUGGAACGGUGUUUGGGGCGGAAAAUGGCCUCCCGCGAUCUUUGCCAUUACGGUUGGCCCAAAAAGAGAGAGCCGCUCGGCUAGUUCCGUGGCAUUUGGUGGUGGAAAAUACCUUCAUAACGCCGCGAUCAUUCUGUCGAGCCAAUAACGUUCUCAACGACCCUCUAUGUAUUCGACGCGACCCCAGGUCAGGCGGGANUACCCGCUGAG
rnacentral:rRNA from 1 species